GCCCAGAUGACCUGUCGAGGAAGGUUUUUGCGUGUCAAGUCAGUCAGGGGUUUGGCCAGGGCACUAUAAUUGGGUAUGAAUUUUCGGUAGUACCCUGUAGUACCAAGGAAGGCUAGCACUUGGGUUUUUGUUUGGGGGGGGAUAGGCCACUUAGCUACUGCUUCAAUUUUUGCUGGUUAAGGCUUUUUCUGUGCACUCCCUACCCGCUGCCCCAGGUACUGUACCUCUGCCAUCCCGAUGUGACACUUACUGGGCUUUAGCAACCCUGCCUCUCCGAUACGGUCAAUGACUGCUCCAAUAUGUCACAGGUGGUCUGACCAGGUCUGGCUAUAGAUGGCGAUAUCAUCCAGGUAUGCACAUGCAUACUCCUGAAACCCAUCCAGUAG